rnacentral:rRNA from 1 species
UACGGAGGGUGCAAGCGUUAUCCGGAUUUACUGGGUUUAAAGGGUGUGUAGGCGGGCUUUUAAGUCAGUGGUGAAAUCUCCGGGCUCAACCUGGAAACUGCCAUUGAUACUAUUAGUCUUGAAUAUUGUUGAGGUAGGCGGAAUAAGUCAUGUAGCGGUGAAAUGCAUAGAUAUGACUUAGAACACCAAUUGCGAAGGCAGCUUGCUAAACAUGAUUGACGCUGAGGCACGAAAGCGUGGG